ACCCAACAACGUUCGCCGCGUGGUUUUAAUUUGCUUGGAAUUGCUUAAAUCGUGUCUAGUGACGGGAAAAUAGUGGAAACAGUCACCAUCCCGCAAACGCACAAAAAUUCUCUCGUGGUAUUGGUUUUGGCUCUUAUGCAUGGUUAUAUUUAUUUGCUUUGAUUGUUUGCAACAGCAUAAUUGCCAGAAGGAAAAAGCAAUUCGACAAAAUAAUUCGUACAGAAAGGGGAAAGUUUGUAAACGUAUCCGUAUAUUGAUUGUUAUGGUGAAGAAAACGUGACCAUAAGUACCGUGCAAGGAAAUUUUCUGCUUAACGUGCUUCACAACACCUUAUCCGUAUUCGGAGGCUUAUUGCUAGUGCUCCCCGCACCUCAUUACAAAAGCGCGGUCAUAGCGCGCCCUUCUUCAGAUAUUCGUUGAUUUUCAGUACUACCCACCAAUCGACACUGGGAAAACUCGCGGACAAAUACGAGGUUAAUAGGUGCCUCAACGCUUGCAGCCUACUCAAACACGGAAAGUCAACACUAACUCAAAGGGUACUCUGACUGCAGGAAAAUUGAUGUCAACAGAACUAAGAAAAAUUAAACUUGCCCUUGGAAAGAAGCUAUCAACGCAACAGUAUCCUCCGGCCACACAAACCCGACAGUAUUGGUAGCCAGCUCCCUCUACUAAGAGCGUUGUACACAUUUAAUUCACCAUCCAGUGACUGAAAGAUAGUUCUGUGGAUUCUCAUUUAAAACCGUGUCACCAUACUGAGGGACGUGUUCUUAUCUGUGAAGCUAGCGACAACCGAAGCUCCUGUCAUUAUAGUCAUUCCCUCACAUGAAGCCAGCAUUCACCGCCAAUCUGAGGCGAGAAGCUAUCUCAACUGCCAAGCCUACUUUCGUCGCAUAGUUCGCCUCAUCUUUAUAUACAGAAACAAAUUUUCACCUGCGACAUCUAUCGGUGGCUAGCAACCUAGUGAACCAACUCGAAUCGCCUUAGCUACACAUUUCUCAUUCACCGUGAAAGUUGACACCAAUCACGCCUUUGAUGACAAACCAUCUCCACCUAAUUUGAUCGCAUGGUGUGCUCCAUCAGUAUCUACCAGAAAUAACGCAUCCACCACGAGCGUUUUUUCAUUACUUUGAAUCAAUCGGAAUGCACAUCUGCCAUUCACCGUGAAGCUGACACCAGAGUCCACAAGUGCCGUCUCACACGUGUUUGCGGCGAGAAGCCACCAUCUCAUCAGCUAAGCCUACUUUCAUCGCGUAGUUUGGCACAUCGCUAUCUACAAGAAAUCGCUCGGUUACCAGCGACAUCUUCCAGUGCCCAGCGGAGAUCGUGAAUACCACCAACUAAUUCUUUGCUACAUAUAUCGGAGAAUUUCACCGCACGAGACCGGGUAACUCCACCCAACGAAAUAAUGGCUCCCAGAAAUCCUGAAAUCCAUAGCUGUCUAAUUUGCGACCGUUUUCAUCCGUUACGUUUUUGCCGCCAGUUCCUCGAAAUGGACAUAGGGGCUCGUCGACGAGCAGUCCGCGAACAUGGCUACUGUUUUAAUUGUCUCGCCAGAUCUCAUCGCACGUACGAGUGUACCUCCGACGAUGUGUGCAAAAUAUGCCGACAGGAACACCACUCCCUCCUGCAUCUUUACCCGAUGAUGCGAAUUAGCCGAGACGAGUUGGAACGAUCCCGAGCUAGGCAAAGAGUGGAACGAGCACCAGUAAAUGAUGCUCAUGCUCAUAAUCGACAGAGACACCGAGAUGAAGACCCCAAUAGACUGGAAGCGAGACGACAAUUUGAUGAAGAGAGGCGUAGAGCGAGAAGACUUAUCGUCCGAGCACCGAUGGGCAGAAACAAUGUCGAAGGUCUCAGAUCAUCUGUACCUCGGUACAUGAUUCAAUUGGCCAUAAGAACCCUAAAACGAGUGACCGAAGCUCUGGACACCUGAAUAAUUGGCCUUUCUGCCCAAGGCGGGGAGCAUGUUGAAUGGACUGACCUUCCAGCCACAUCGUUUGUUGUUGAAUAGACUUAUCCCAACAAUUUUGAAUUUAUAUUAAGAUCUCAAUGAAGUAUUUGAACUAUGAUUAAUCGUAAGAAACCGUUAAUGAGUAAUAGAUUAGUAUGUUCCAAUGUAAUGGAUUAAAAGAUAGAUUGGAAUUGAUUAAAUAAGAAACCGGUACUAGUAAUGAUGAGUGGCAACACUUCUUUGGAAUAUGGAGGUAGCCUGCGAGCUACGAGCCGAGUUUCUUUCUUCUUUGGUUAGCAACCGUCAUCGACUAGACAUCUCACAAGAAAAUAAAACCGCUCAUGAAGAAGAAUUCUA